GACAGAGGGUGCAAACGUUGUUCGGAAUUACUGGGCGUAAAGCGCGUGUAGGCUGUCUCGAAAGUCGGAUGUGAAAGCCCUGGGCUCAACCUAGGAAGUGCAUUCGAAACUUCGAGACUCGAGUCCUGGAGAGGAUCGCGGAAUUCUCGGUGUAGAGGUGAAAUUCGUAGAUAUCGAGAGGAACACCGGUGGCGAAAGGCGGCGACCUCGUCG
rnacentral:rRNA from 1 species